rnacentral:piRNA from 1 species
UGAGCCCAUGAUAGAGUGAAUGCCUGCGGU